AUUGAACGCUGGCGGCAGGCCUAACACAUGCAAGUCGAACGAGUGGCGGACGGGUGAGGAAUGUCUGGGAAACUGCCCGAUGGAGGGGGAUAACUACUGGAAACGGUAGCUAAUACCGCAUACCAUCGGAUGUGCCCAGAUGGGAUUAGCUAGUAGGUGGGGUAACGGCUCACCUAGGCGACGAUCCCUAGCUGGUCUGAGAGGAUGACCAGCCACACUGGGACUGAGACACGGUCCAGACUCCUACGGGAGGCAGCAGUGGGGAAUAUUGCACAAUGGGCGAAAGCCUGAUCCAGCCAUGCCGCGUGUAUGAAGAAGGCCUUCGGGUCGUAAAGUACUUUCGGCGGGGAGGCGUUACUCGCAGAAGAAGCACCGGCUAACUCCGUGCCAGCAGCCGCGGUAAUUC
rnacentral:rRNA from 1 species